rnacentral:rRNA from 1 species
UNUGACUUGAGUGCAGAAGGGGAGAGUGGAAUUCCAUGUGUAGCGGUGAAAUGCGUAGAUAUAUGGAGGAACACCAGUGGCGAAAGCGGCUCUCUGGUCUGUCACUGACGCUGAGGCUCGAAAGCGUGGGUAGCGAACAGGAUUAGAUACCCUGGUAGUNCACGCCGUAAACGAUGAGUGCUAGGUGUUAGGCCCNUUCCGGGGCUUAGUGCCGGAGCUAACGCAAUAAGCACUCCGCCUGGGGAGUACGACCGCAAGGUUGAAACUCAAAGGAAUUGACGGGGGCCCGCACAAGCGGUGGAGCAUGUGGUUUAAUUCGAAGCAACGCGAAGAACCUUACCAGGUCUUGACAUCCCGAUGCUAUUCUUAGAGAUAGGAAGUUACUUCGGUACAUCGGAGACAGGUGGUGCAUGGUUGUCGUCAGCUCGUGUCGUGAGAUGUUGGGUUAAGUCCCGCAACGAGCGCAACCCUUAUUGUUAGUUGCCAUCAUUAAGUUGGGCACUCUAGCGAGACUGCCGGUAAUAAACCGGAGGAAGGUGGGGAUGACGUCAAAUCAUCAUGCCCCUUAUGACCUGGGCUACACACGUGCUACAAUGGUCGGUACAAUGAGUUGCGAGCCGGUGACGGCAAGCUAAUCUCUGAAAGCCGAUCUCAGUUCGGAUUGGAGGCUGCAACUCGCCUCCAUGAAGUCGGAAUCGCUAGUAAUCGCGGAUCAGCACGCCGCGGUGAAUACGUUCCCGGGCCUUGUACACACCGCCCGUCACACCACGAGAGUUUGUAACACCCGAAGUCGGUGAGGUAACCUUUUAGGGGCCAG